GCCCGGGUGGCGAAAUUGGUAGACGCACCAGAUUUAGGUUCUGGCGCCGCAAGGUGUGGAGGUUCGAGUCCUCUCCCGGGCACCA
rnacentral:tRNA from 2 species